rnacentral:rRNA from 1 species
UAUUGACGGUAUUUAACCAGAAAGCCACGGCUAACUACGUGCCAGCAGCCGCGGUAAUACGUAGGUGGCAAGCGUUGUCCGGAUUUAUUGGGCGUAAAGCGAGCGCAGGCGGUUUUUUAAGUCUGAUGUGAAAGCCUUCGGCUCAACCGAAGAAGUGCAUCGGAAACUGGGAAACUUGAGUGCAGAAGAGGACAGUGGAACUCCAUGUGUAGCGGUGAAAUGCGUAGAUAUAUGGAAGAACACCAGUGGCGAAGGCGGCUGUCUGGUCUGUAACUGACGCUGAGGCUCGAAAGUAUGGGUAGCAAACAGGAUUAGAUACCCUGGUAGUCCAUACCGUAAACGAUGAAUGCUAAGUGUUGGAGGGUUUCCGCCCUUCAGUGCUGCAGCUAACGCAUUAAGCAUUCCGCCUGGGGAGUACGGCCGCAAGGCUGAAACUCAAAGGAAUUGACGGGGGCCCGCACAAGCGGUGGAGCAUGUGGUUUAAUUCGAAGCUACGCGAAGAACCUUACCAGGUCUUGACAUACUAUGCAAAUCUAAGAGAUUAGACGUUCCCUUCGGGGACAUGGAUACAGGUGGUGCAUGGUUGUCGUCAGCUCGUGUCGUGAGAUGUUGGGUUAAGUCCCGCAACGAGCGCAACCCUUAUUAUCAGUUGCCAGCAUUAAGUUGGGCACUCUGGUGAGACUGCCGGUGACAAACCGGAGGAAGGUGGGGAUGACGUCAAAUCAUCAUGCCCCUUAUGACCUGGGCUACACACGUGCUACAAUGGAUGGUACAACGAGUUGCGAACUCGCGAGAGUAAGCUAAUCUCUUAAAGCCAUUCUCAGUUCGGAUUGUAGGCUGCAACUCGCCUACAUGAAGUCGGAAUCGCUAGUAAUCGCGGAUCAGCAUGCCGCGGUGAAUACGUUCCCGGGCCUUGUACACACCGCCCGUCACACCAUGAGAGUUUGUAACACCCAAAGUCGGUGGGGUAACCUUUUAGGAACCAGCCGCCUAAGGUGGGACAGAUGAUUAGGGUGAAGUCGUAACAAGGUAGCCGUAGGAGAACCUGCGGCUGGAUCACCUCCUUUCUAAGGAA